rnacentral:lncRNA from 10 species
CCAGGCUGGUCUCGAACUCCUGACCUCGUGAUCCACCCUCCUCAGCCUCCCAAAGUGGUGGCAUUACAGGCAUGCGCCACCGCACCUGGCCAGUUUAUUCUUUUAACCUCAAAAAUGCAUGAGCAAAGGUGAAGGAAAUAGCACUAAUGACAUUGACAGGUGAGAAAACUGAGGGUAAGUGGAUUUUAGAACGUCACCUCAUCAGUUAAUGGUGUCUCUUGGGUCUGAGUCUUAAGAUUUUUCCACCAAGUUGAAUGAGGACAGAGCUACUUCAUGAUUGUCUAUGUAGACAUUGCCACCACAAUAACACCUUGUGAGAGAGCUAAUCAAGGCAACUUGCUUUUGGCCCUGUUCAAUUCUAGGCUGUGUUAUCCUUUACUAUAAAGCACAUUGACCCACCAUGAAUGGAGGCCUUAAGAUUGACCUCCCUUCAUUCCACCCUCCGGUAUUGAUGGAGCUCCUGAGUUAACACAGUCCAAUGGGGAAAACAGACGAACAAUUAAGAUGGAAUGUCAAGAGUGCCACAAGGGAGAUGUGAGUCGUAUGCAAGAAAGCGAGUGGGGGGAACACGUAACAGCUCUGGUUCAGGAAUCUGAUAAGGUUUCGUAGAGAAGACAGCAUUUCAGUGGGCUUGGUGGAGAUGGGCAGGAGUUUGUCGGGCACAGAAAAGAGCAAAUGGCAUCCAGGCAGGCUCAUUACAUACAAAAGCAUCUUCAUGGGAAGGCACGUGGCACGUUUGGAAUCAGUAGGAAUCCAUCACAGGUAGAGCCAAAGUAAGUUGAGAGAAGAGGCAGAUGAGACUUAAGCAAGUCACUUGAGAGAAGUGGCACAUCUUCAGUUUCAUAUAUUUAAGAUUGUAACAUCUGGGAGAAGAAUCAAAGUGAAAAUGUCACCUAU